rnacentral:lncRNA from 1 species
AUUCCUGGGAAAUGUCUUUUCCUACCCCAGAAAGUCUCGUCCAAAGCCAUUCGGCGGCUCUGUCUCCACAUCCAUCCUGAAUUCCGGGUGUUGGAGCACAGACCCGGAGCUGCUCUGCUCAGCCAAAGGUUUUCCAGAUUUCCAGGGCAGCCUGAAGGCUGCUGCUCCUAUCCCAACUGGAUUUUUAAACCCAUCAACUGCUCCCGGGGAAAAAACAACCCAAACCAGGGAGAAAACACGGGAAAAGCGCUCGGGAGAGCGGGAGGAUGGCAGAGCUGCAUUGCCAGCCCCAAACCUGCCACAGCCUCUGUGACACCCGAGUGCUGCCACACAAAAACCCCAAAUCCACCCCGAGGAGCUCAGGAACAUCCACAACCCCAAAUUCAUCCUGAGAAACACAGGAACACCAAAUCCUCCCCGAGGAGCUCAGGAACAUCCACAACCCCAAAUCCUCCCCGAGGAGCUCAGGAACAUCCACAACCCCAAAUCCUCCCCGAGGAGCUCAGGAACAUCCACAACCCCAAAUCCUCCCCGAGGAGCUCAGGAACAUCCACAACCCCAAAUCCUCCCCGAGGAGCUCAGGAACAUCCACAACCCCAAAUCCUCCCCGAGGAGCUCAGGAACAUCCACAACCCCAAAUCCUCCCCGAGGAGCUCAGGAACAUCCACAACCCCAAAUCCUCCCCGAGGAGCUCAGGAACAUCCACAACCCCAAAUCCUCCCCGAGGAGCUCAGGAACAUCCACAACCCCAAAUCCUCCCCGAGGAGCUCAGGAACAUCCACAACCCCAAAUCCUCCCCGAGGAGCUCAGGAACAUCCACAACCCCAAAUCCUCCCCGAGGAGCUCAGGAACAUCCACAACCCCAAAUCCUCCCCGAGGAGCUCAGGAACAUCCACAACCCCAAAUCCUCCCCGAGGAGCUCAGGAACAUCCACAACCCCAAAUCCUCCCCGAGGAGCUCAGGAACAUCCACAACCCCAAAUCCUCCCCGAGGAGCUCAGGAACAUCCACAACCCCAAAUCCUCCCCGAGGAGCUCAGGAACAUCCACAACCCCAAAUCCUCCCCGAGGAGCUCAGGAACAUCCACAACCCCAAAUCCUCCCCGAGGAGCUCAGGAACAUCCACAACCCCAAAUCCUCCCCGAGGAGCUCAGGAACAUCCACAACCCCAAAUCCUCCCCGAGGAGCUCAGGAACAUCCACAACCCCAAAUCCUCCCCGAGGAGCUCAGGAACAUCCACAACCCCAAAUCCUCCCCGAGGAGCUCAGGAACAUCCACAACCCCAAAUCCUCCCCGAGGAGCUCAGGAACAUCCACAACCCCAAAUCCUCCCCGAGGAGCUCAGGAACAUCCACAACCCCAAAUCCUCCCCGAGGAGCUCAGGAACAUCCACAACCCCAAAUCCUCCCCGAGGAGCUCAGGAACAUCCACAACCCCAAAUCCUCCCCGAGGAGCUCAGGAACAUCCACAACCCCAAAUCCUCCCCGAGGAGCUCAGGAACAUCCACAACCCCAAAUCCUCCCCGAGGAGCUCAGGAACAUCCACAACCCCAAAUCCUCCCCGAGGAGCUCAGGAACAUCCACAACCCCAAAUCCUCCCCGAGGAGCUCAGGAACAUCCACAACCCCAAAUCCUCCCCGAGGAGCUCAGGAACAGCCUCGGGGCCUGGGGCAAUCCCAGCUGGAAUUUCACACAGAGCGCUGUGCGAGUGCCGAGUGCUCCCAGGGCUGGGACACCGUGGGACAGGGUGGGACACGGAGGGACAGGGUGGGACACUGUGGGACACGGAGGGACAGGGUGGGACACUGUGGGACACGGUGGUACAGAGUAG